GACGAACGCUGGCGGCGUGCUUAACACAUGCAAGUCGAACGGAAAGGCCCCUUCGGGGGUACUCGAGUGGCGAACAGGUGCGUAACACGUGAGUAACCUGCCCUUGACUUCGGGAUAACUUCAGGAAACUGGGGCUAAUACCGGAUAGGAAUCCUUGCUGCAUGGUGGGGGUUGGAAAGCUUCGGCGGUUUUGGAUGGACUCGCGGCUUAUCAGCUUGUUGGUGGGGUAGUGGCUUACCAAGGCUUUGACGGGUAGCCGGCCUGAGAGGGCGACCGGCCACAUUGGGACUGAGAUACGGCCCAGACUCCUACGGGAGGCAGCAGUGGGGAAGAUUGCACAAUGGGCGGUAGCCUGAUGCAGCAACGCCGCGUGCGGGAUGACGGCCUUCGGGUUGUAAACCGCUUUCAGCAGGGGCGAAGCUUGUGGUGACGGUACCUGCAGAAGAAGCACCGGCUAACUACGUG
rnacentral:rRNA from 1 species